rfam:Schistosoma mansoni strain Puerto Rico chromosome W, complete genome
AGCUUUUUGAAUCCGUGCUGAGAUUUCGUCGGGAACCAACUCUUUAUUGCUGAUCAGACUUCCGAGAUAAGUGAAGUU